CCUACGGGAGACAGCAGUGGGGAAUAUUGGGCAAUGGGCGCAAGCCUGACCCAGCAACGCCGCGUGAAGGAAGAAGGCUUUCGGGUUGUAAACUUCUUUUCUGAGGGACGAAGAAAGUGACGGUACCUCAGGAAUAAGCCACGGCUAACUACGUGCCAGCAGCCGCGGUAAUACGUAGGUGGCAAGCGUUAUCCGGAUAUAUUGGGUGUAAAGUGCGUGUAGGCGGGAAAGCAAGUCAGAUGUAAAAACUCAGGGCUAAACCCUGAGCCUGCAUGUGAAACUGUUUUUCUUGAGUGCUGGAGAGGCAAUCGGAAUUCCGUGGGUAGCGGUGAAAUGCGUAGAUAUACGGAGGAACACCAGUGGCGAAGGCGGAUUGCUGGACAGUAACUGACGCUGAGGCGCGAAAGCGUAGGGAGCAAACAGGAUUAGAUACCCGAGUAGUC
rnacentral:rRNA from 1 species